AAACGCGAUUAUUUUUUACAAUCAGAGAUAAGUCCGCAAGAUUAAUUAUCGCUUCGCAAUAUAAUAGAUAAAGUAAGUAACGCGCGUGUGAGUAACGACACGUAGAGAGUAUCGUACAAAGUGCCGCACAAUUGUCGUGUUCUUCUUAUUAGUGCGCGCGCGAUUAUAAUUAAGCGUGUUUUCGCGAAUGAGUAUUGUGUAAGUGCUAUUAAGGAGCAGAGGAUGAACAAGAGAAAAGAAACAAGCUCAGGGAAGCACCAGAUUAACAUUAUGUACAACUCCGCCGUUGCGUAUUGUAUCUCGCG